rnacentral:rRNA from 1 species
AGCGAACGCUGGCGGCAGGCCUAAUACAUGCAAGUCGAACGGCUCUUCGGAGCAGUGGCGGACGGGUGAGUAAUGCAUCGGAACGUGCCCAGUCGUGGGGGAUAACGCAGCGAAAGCUGUGCUAAUACCGCAUGUGGCGACGUGUUCGUUCAAGUCAUCAAAGCCGCGAGGCGCUUCAGGAGGGGCCUGCGUCCGAUUAGCUCGUUGGUGGGGUAACGGCUCACCAAGGCGACGAUCGGUAGGUGGUCUGAGAGGACGACCACCCAGACUGGGACUGAGACACGGCCCAGACUCCUACGGGAGGCAGCAGUCGGGAAUUUUGCUCAAUGGGGGAAACCCUGAAGCAGCAACGCCGCGUGAGGGAUGAAGGCCUUCGGGUUGUAAACCUCUUUUGUCAGGGACGAUGAUGACGGUACCUGACGAAUAAGUCACGGCUAACUACGUGCCAGCAGCCGCCGUAAUAC